UGGGGAAUCUUGCGCAAUGCGCGAAAGCGUGACGCAGCAACGCCGCGUGCGGGAAGACGGCCCUCGGGUUGUAAACCGCUUUCAGUUGGGACGAAGCUCUGCCGGUUAAUAGCCGGUUGGAGUGACGGUACCUUCACAAGAAGCCCCGGCUAACUACGUGCCAGCAGCCGCGGUAAUACGUAGGGGGCAAGCGUUGUCCGGAAUCAUUGGGCGUAAAGAGCGUGUAGGCGGCCCGGUAAGUCCGCUGUGAAAGUCCAGGGCUCAACCCUGGGAUGCCGGUGGAUACUGUCGGGCUCGAGUCCGGAAGAGGAGUGUGGAAUUCCUGGUGUAGCGGUGAAAUGCGCAGAUAUCAGGAGGAACACCAAUGGCGAAGGCAGCACUCUGGGACGUGACUGACGCUGAGACGCGAAAGCGUGGGGAGCAAACA
rnacentral:rRNA from 1 species